rnacentral:rRNA from 1 species
CGUAGGUGAACCUGCGGAGGGAUCAUUGCUGGAACGCGCCCCAGGCGCACCCAGAAACCCUUUGUGAACUUAUACCUUUUGUUGCCUCGGCGCAUGCUGGUCUCUAGUAGGCCCCUCACCCCGGUGAGGAGACGGCACGCCGGCGGCCAAGUUAACUCUUGUUUUUACACUGAAACUCUGAGAAAAAACACAAAUGAAUCAAAACUUUCAACAACGGAUCUCUUGGUUCUGGCAUCGAUGAAGAACGCAGCGAAAUGCGAUAAGUAAUGUGAAUUGCAGAAUUCAGUGAAUCAUCGAAUCUUUGAACGCACAUUGCGCCCUCUGGUAUUCCGGAGGGCAUGCCUGUUCGAGCGUCAUUUCAACCCUCAAGCAUUGCUUGGUGCUGGGGCACUGCUUUUAACGAAGCAGGCCCUGAAAUCUAGUGGCGAGCUCGCCAGGACCCCGAGCGCAGUAGUUAAACCCUCGCUCUGGAAGGCCCUGGCGGUGCCCUGCCGUUAAACCCCCAACUUUUGAAAAUUUGACCUCGGAUCAGGUAGGAAUACCCGCUGAACUUAAGCAUAUCAAUAAGGCGGAGGAA